GACGUAGGGCGCGAGCGUUGUCCGGAUUUAUUGGGCGUAAAGCGCGCGUAGGCGGCUGCGCAAGUCGGUUGUGAAAUUCCGGGCUCAACCCGGAACUGCGUCCGAUACUGCGUGGCUAGAGGUAGGUAGGGGAGAUCGGAAUUCCUGGUGUAGCGGUGAAAUGCGCAGAUAUCAGGAGGAACACCAGUGGCGAAGGCGGCUCACUGGCCGAUACUGCGCUGAGGCACGAAGCGUGGGAGCAAACAG
rnacentral:rRNA from 1 species